CAGCAUAGGAUUUAGUCAGUCGAACAGCAUCACAAGACUGGAGAAGUCAAGAAGAAACUCCUGAGAAUAAUUUCAACCUUGAGCAGACUGAAAUGGACGUCACUCAGAUAGCCUCUAUAAGUCAAACCUCAAACGGUCGCAAAGUAAAUUUUGCAACUGUAGUCAGCGGCCUGCUGAUAUCUUCAGUUCAAGGGACAUUCUUCAUGAUGAAGAAGAAGGUUAUUGAAUAUCUGUGGAAGUCGAAGUCAUGAACUACUGCAAUCAGCAGCAUGGAUACAGAAGCAACGGAGUUCAGAUAAUGUGAAAUGAAAUUGAAAUGAAAUGCUUAUCUGUCAGUGUAUCCAAACAUUUAUAAUUCUACAAUUAUUAAACAACUACUGUUUAAGAUAAAUGAGUGUUUUUAACUUUCAGUUUCUUUCAACGCUGAUUAAUUUAAAAUCUGCAUAA